CAACCACUCCCUCUGUCCCAAAAUUCUUGUCUAAGAUUUGUCUAGAUACGGAUGUAUCUAAUACUAAAAUGUGACUUGAUACAUCCGUAUCUAGACAAAUCUAAGACAAGAAUUUUGGGACGGAGGGAGUACUUU
rnacentral:pre_miRNA from 1 species